rnacentral:rRNA from 1 species
UCAGGUAAUGCUGGGGACGUCUAAAGGAACUGCCUACGCAAGUAGUGAGGAAGCGGGGAGUGACGUCAAAUCAGCACGGCCCUUACGUCCAGGGCUACACACGUGCUACAAUGGCCGAUACAGAGGGCAGCUACCUGGUGACAGGAUGCAAAUCUCCAAAGUCGGUCUCAGUUCGGAUCGGAGUCUGCAACCCGACUCCGUGAAGUUGGAUUCGCUAGUAAUCGCGCAUCAGCCAUGGCGCGGUGAAUACGUUCCCGGGCCUU